rnacentral:rRNA from 1 species
GGUGGGGAUGACGUCCAAGUCAUCAUGGCCCUUACGGCCUGGGCUACACACGUGCUACAAUGGUCGGUACAAAGGGUUGCCAAGCCGCGAGGUGGAGCUAAUCCCAUAAAACCGAUCGUAGUCCGGAUCGCAGUCUGCAACUCGACUGCGUGAAGUCGGAAUCGCUAGUAAUCGUGAAUCAGAAUGUCACGGUGAAUACGUUCCCGGGCCUU